rnacentral:rRNA from 1 species
AUGAACCCACGAGCAAGCCCUGGGCCAGAUGGCUUCGGCCCCUCCUUUUACAGGUCCUUCUGGGCCUCUAUUAAACAUGCCAUUCUGCCCUUUUUCCAACAACUCCACCAAGGUGUAGCAGAUACAGAACGCUUAAAUCAUGCUCACAUCGUCCUCCUCCCAAAAAAUGCAGCCACCUCCUCACCCGAUGCCUUCAGACCAAUCUCCCUACAAAACUGCCCCGUCAAAGCCUUUGCCAAAGCCAUCACUUCGCGCCUCAAACCUCUCAUUCCUAGCCUAGUUCAUGGGAACCAAACAGGGUUCAUCACCGGUAGGAAUAUUGCAGAAAAUUACGUCUUUGCGGCCGACCUAAUCAGCUCUUGCCACUCCCGCAAAAAACCGACCAUGGUUUUCAAACUCGAUUUCAGGAAGGCAUUUGAUUCUAUUGCCUGGCCUGCCCUCGACAGGAUCUUGGAUGCCCGCGGCUUCUCUCAAACCUUUCGAUCUUGGAUUCAAAACAUCCUACGCACGGGUAAAACUGCUAUCCUCCUAAAUGGCAUUCCUGGCCACUGGAUUCAAUGCAAGAAAGGCCUGCGGCAGGGCGACCCAGCCUCGCCCUACCUGUUCCUCAUUGUUGCCGAUCUCCUUCAGCAGCUCAUCAUCCAAAACUCCGAGCCAGAUCUCCUCCACCACCCCAUCUUUACCCACCUGCCACCCACCAUUCUCUAA